rnacentral:rRNA from 1 species
GUGGGGAAUAUUGGACAAUGGGCGAAAGCCUGAUCCAGCCAUGCCGCGUGUGUGAAGAAGGUCUUCGGAUUGUAAAGCACUUUAAGUUGGGAGGAAGGGCAGUAAGUUAAUACCUUGCUGUUUUGACGUUACCGACAGAAUAAGCACCGGCUAACUUCGUGCCAGCAGCCGCGGUAAUACGAAGGGUGCAAGCGUUAAUCGGAAUUACUGGGCGUAAAGCGCGCGUAGGUGGUUCGUUAAGUUGGAUGUGAAAGCCCCGGGCUCAACCUGGGAACUGCAUCCAAAACUGGCGAGCUAGAGUACGGUAGAGGGUGGUGGAAUUUCCUGUGUAGCGGUGAAAUGCGUAGAUAUAGGAAGGAACACCAGUGGCGAAGGCGACCACCUGGACUGAUACUGACACUGAGGUGCGAAAGCGUGGGGAGCAAACAGGAUUAGAUACCCCAGUAGUCC